rnacentral:tRNA from 1 species
AAUCUUAUAUUCAAUAAAAUAAAUGAUAUAAAAUUGCAAAUUUUAAGGAGUAAUAAAUUACUAAGAUUU